rnacentral:misc_RNA from 1 species
AAGCUGAGAAGCGGCGGGAGAGCGAUUUGAUGCUCUCCAUGUCCGCAUUCAGUGACGCCUGUUGUCUGAGGAUGACUAGGUGGUCGGUCGGUACCGUUGGACCUUCCGAGGCCUGUUCGGGCGGCGUUUUGAGUUUGAGUUAGAAUUGUAUCUGCUGGAGAGGGGAAAUGUCGAGGAGAACUUACCAUUGCAGAGGAACAUCAGAAUCCACUAGGAACUAUGCAUGGUGGAUUCAUAGCAACAUUGGUUGACCAGAUGUCGAUGUUUGCUCUUCAGACACAUGAAAAUGGACCUAAAGCUGUUUCUGUGAAUAUAAAUGUGAGUUACUUCAAGCCAGCAACAACAGGUGACGAAGUCAUAAUAGAUGCAAGAACAAUUCGUGCAGGAAAGAAAAUGGCAUUCUUAGAGGUUGAUCUUAUAAAGAAAAAAACAGGAGAAUUACUUGUAAGAGGUUCACAUGCAGUAUUUAUUGUUUCACAAAAAACCAUUUCAUAGAUUUUUUUCAGUAUUUCAAAUUGCAUUAAAAUACUGAAAUUAUUUUUGAUGUUCCUAGAUGUAUGAUGUAAAUUCUAACAGAAUUGUGUAAGACAGCUGUACUUUUUAGUUCUAUUUUAGUGUGCACCACAGAGCAUCACAGAUGGAGAUCUACUGCUGUGAUAUAUUUAUGAAUGUUGAAGUAUACUGUAUUGUUGUUACACUUUUCUGUGCCGUUGUAUGUAUGUUUUAAAAAGUAUGAUGGAGAAAAAUAUUGUUUACUAUAUUAGUUGGUUCUAAACAGUAUACCUUGGUUGGUUAGUAAAGAAGUACUGUAUCAUAAAA